AGACCACAUAAUAUAUGUUAAGCCUUGCGGACGGGCGGGUCGGUUGCCGA
rnacentral:sRNA from 12 species